AGCCUCACUGUGUCACUCUUACCCUAGAGCUCCGUCAUUGCAGUCGUGCUUAGGGAAGUGAAGAAGAUGUUCCAGACACAGAACAAGCUAAACAAUUUACCAAGCAAAGGGCCAGAGGAUUGAGGCAACAAUCAGGAAAUCAUUAAUCUCCGGCAAUCAUUUUCAUAUAUGGAUGGUGGAAAGCAUGAAAAAAAGCAUCUUUGAGUGGAAAUUGGCACCAAGCGGAAGUUGUUUAUGUGUUGGAUUGAUGUAAGGUACGAGAAAGAAACAUAGGGGGGGUAGAGGCAGCAGUGGAACUGGGUUUGUGAUUGAAGGUCCUUUGUGCUCCACUCAAUAGGUUACAAAGAUAGGUUGGAACUAAUGUAUGUGUCCUUAAUAGUAUACAUGUAUUGUCCUAUGCGCUUUAAGUAACACCUGAAGUCCUGAACCAAAACCCCACUACUUUUAUAUCACACCAGACAUUUACUGUAUGGUGUUAAUUAAAUUUACCAUGUUUGAGUGUGUAUGUCUGUGUGAGAUAUACUUUCACAUAUAAUACAACUCUUAAAAAAAUUCAUCCUAA